UUAUAUACUUUUGGGUGUAUAUAAUUCAUUUAACAGGUCAUUAACUCAUUCCAAAUCCUCUCUCACGAAUUACACAUUUUCCUCCAAAAUAUUCUUCCUUGAAACCACCAUUGUUGGUUAAGCUCAAUAACAGCUUGAAGCUUGAAUCUUCAUGGAUAAAUCAUCAAUUUUUAAUGUUUUACAAUUUUAUAAAGGUUAUGGAUGCUUAAAGGAUGUCCAUGAUUGAGGAGCUUGAUAUGUGAUUCCAAAGAACAAGGAAAGGGGUCCUUAAGUUCCAAGGAUUCCCUACUCAUGUCUUAAUGUAAAAUUUAUUAAAAGUUAUAUAGUUAUGCCUUAUGUUUUAAGGGUUGUGUCCCUAAUAUAUUCUAAGGUUGUUGGCUAAGAUGGCAAAGAUACUUAAGGUCUAAAUAUGUAUUAUGACUUAUAUUUUAUAUGUAUACGAAGUGAUGUUGCCAGCA